rnacentral:rRNA from 1 species
CACGUAGGGCGCAAGCGUUGUCCGGAAUUAUUGGGCGUAAAGAGCUCGUAGGUGGUUUGUUACGUCUGCUGUGAAAACCUAGGGCUUAACCCUGGGCUUGCAGUGGAUACGGGCAGACUAGAGGUAGGUAGGGGAGAAUGGAAUUCCUGGUGUAGCGGUGAAAUGCGCAGAUAUCAGGAGGAACACCGGUGGCGAAGGCGGCUCACUGGACCGGUACUGACGCUGAUGCGCGAAAGCGUGGGGAGCAAACGGG